ensembl:lncRNA
GGGGAUGUGGGAGAGCAGAGUGAACUCAGUGCAAACCAGAGCUUUGGGCUUCCUGGAAAAAAUGUUCCCAGAAUCUAAUCUUGAAGGAUGGGUAAGAACUGAGUGACAUUUCAGGCUUGAGGACAGCAUGAGAGAAGCUGAAGCUGAAGGAUGCAAAGCUCCAGUGGGUGCCAUUCCCCUUCAGCUCCUGGUCCUGUGUGAGAAUGAAGGGUGGAAUUGAAAGAGUGCCUGGAAUAUUUUCCCGAGGAAAUCCCAUGUAGAAUUGUCAGAUGGGAAAUAGGAUGACAUGAGAGGCAGAUGAGACCUAACACCCUAGAGAGCCAGAAGUUCCAUUGAAAAACCCCUCUUUUGAAAGCCUUACCUUUGAAUUCAUCUGAAAGAUAUAACAAUAAAAACACAGUUGAGUGGAGAAGAUCAAGAUGGCAGAGUAGGAGGAUGUGGAGUUCAC